rnacentral:rRNA from 1 species
UACGGAGGGAGCAAGCGUUACUCGGAAUUAUUGGGCGUAAAGGGUGCGUAGGCGGCGCGGUAAGUCGGGUGUGAAAUCUCGGAGCUUAACUCCGAAACUGCAUUCGAUACUGCCGUGCUUGAGGACUGGAGAGGAGACUGGAAUUUACGGUGUAGCGGUGAAAUGCGUAGAUAUCGUAAGGAAGACCAGUGGCGAAGGCGGGUCUCUGGACAGUUCCUGACGCUGAGGCACGAAGGCCAGGGGAGCAAACGGG